UUUGGGAUCAUUUCCCAGUUUGGGAUGGUCUUCUGCCUUGCAUCUAUCUCCCUCACAACGCCUCCAUCAUUGGAGCGAAUGUGACUGUAUCCUUACAUGAAGAUGGGUGGUUUUUUGUGGGAUGGGGGGAUACUUUUGAGAUUAUCUGCAGAAAUUACCCCAACCCUACAGCCAGUUCUCAGCGCCUGACGGGGACACCGUCCUCCACGCAGGAGGAGGAGAAGGAGGAGGGAAGAGUUGUAAACACAGUCCUCGAAUGACUCAAAAACUAGGGGUCUCCCUCUGGCAGAGCUAAAUCUGCAGCUGUUCCGUCACAAAAGCAUCUCUUGGCUCCCUAUACUAGACUGCUCUCUGAAGUGUGAUGGAUGACACUGUUCCAUCAUUAACUAUCCUGGCUGUGGCCUGCUAGCUGUGGGAUCCUGGGAGUUGUAGUCCAAAUAAAAAGAAAGAUCUUCUAAACUCUACAAUUGCAUGUAUUUUUAAAGACUGAAAAUAUUUCCUUAAAAAGGAACUAACCAAUAAUCAUUUUGAGAUACAAGGAUAAACUGCAUCAACAUAAAGCAUCCAUGGGUCAAAAUAUUAAAUCAUACCAGUGCUGCCAACAUAUUCCACAAUGUACUGCAUGUACCUGAAGAAUGUAUGUCAUUUUCUGUAUGAUUUUCACAAUUAAAUGAAAUAAUUCUUCACCAGCUCCAA